GGUUCCCUCACUGCAAAAAGUGAAAUUAUAGGAAACAAGGUAGAGGGCCUUCUCAGUAGUGGCACCUACCCUGUGGAACACCCUUCCAUCAGAUAUCAAGGAGAUAAAUAACUAUACAACUUUUAGAAGACAUUUAAGGCAGCUCUGUAUAGGGUAGUUUUGAGUAUCUGAUGCUGUGUUUUUAUAUUUUGCUGGAAGCUGCCCAGAGUGGGUGAGGAAACCCAGUCAGAUGAGUGGUGCAUCAAAAAUAAUAAAGAAAUAUAAUUAAUAAUUAAUGCAUAGCUUAGCAGCACACUUACCUGGGAGUAAGCUCCAGUGAAUGCAAUGGAACUGCUUCUGAGUAGAAAUGUAUAAGAAAGUGCUGUGGGACAUGGGAAGUGUGUGGUUGGUUUAUAAGCUCCUUCCUUCUCUAACCCCCCCCCCCAAUAAAUUCCUUUCCUUUCUCUUUUCAGAGCUAUCAGUGUUAUAUUUUCACUGAUGUUAAUGCUAACCAUGGUUGAGAUCAAGUUUCAUGUCUCCUGCUGUUCAGAAAAAUACUAAUAAAAUAUGAAUGGUAAGCAGGCUAGCGUAUGACAUACCAAGAUGGAAAUUUACCAUGAGAGGGUGUCCAUUUGUAUGCUGCAAAGAGCCUGCCAACCUCCUAUUGAAAGAUGCAAUUUUUCAAGCAAGCAAUGCCUCCAGAAGUCAAUGGGAAUGCUUUGAAGAGAAGCUCUCACAGAAGCAGAAUCAAAGGCUUGAUAGGAUUCUGUUGUCAUGGCAGUCACAAACUCAGUGUCUUAUAUGGAUUGCUCUAGGAAAAUUAAAUAAAUUAACUGCUUCUCUUUAAUGACAAGUUUUAGACAUUUUGGUUCACCUUUCCAUGGUUGGAUGGCCAUUUUAAAUUGCCUGUGCAUUUUUCAAUUUGUGUGGUGUGAUUUAAGAUGCUCAUAAAUUAUUUUUUUCAAUAUUUCAGAUCUAAAAUAUUCACAUCUAUUCUGCUGAGGAGAGAGAACACACACUGACUUGCGGGCCUCAAAUCUGUCUCUGUGCUUGGUGUACAUUCACACUGCAUGGUCAGGACCAUUCUACACCCCUGUCCCCUGUAAGUGGUAUUUUUUGUGGGGUAUGUUAGAUACUUUCAUAAUGAAAGUGUAUUUCAGUCUCCAUUUUUCCUCAUUUUGUGAAGAAUAAAUAAAAAUUUAAUAAUCAUCUGAAGUAAGAAAUGAGUUUAGAAAAUCGACACAAAGACUGCUUAAAUAUAAAAGGAGGAUAUCUACUCUGGAAGGCAGCCUAAAGGUGCGCACGCACACCCACCCUUGAUUGUUUCCUAAAAACAUUGGUUUGCUCUUAUGUAGUACUGUUGAUGGGCAGUCACUGGAGAACUUACCAGAUUGCUUCCACCUGCUGACUGGAGAAAGUAGCAAAACCACAGAUGACGUUAUCACCCUGCGUUCCUGGCCCAAGGUAAGACAACACUGUCCUUGUGCUGGUGGUGGGGAAAUGGCAUCCGUUUGCAUUUAGCAUGCCUAUUAUCUGUCUCCGGGCAAUAGGUACUGAACGACCUCCAAUAAUUUGGGCUAAAUGGCAUUGCUGUUAGGUAGUUUUCCUCUGCUGACACAGACUGAAAGCACACCUUAUAAUUUAAUUUCAAAGACGUCAAAGGGCAUAGGUCAGUACUGGAAAUUGUGAUGGUUGUAUAAUUCCACGCCACCCCCUUAAAUGAAAUCUCUUAUUACAUAUAUGUACGUGUUUCUAAUGCUAUCUGUUAAGUUGUUAAUGAGGAGAAUAUACAGCUGUUUUGAAGGCAAAUAAUAAAUCGCAGGGUAAAACUUAGUGAAGAUCAACACUCCUUUAUUUAUUUAUUACAUUUACAUCCCACAUUUCCUCUAAGAAGCUCUAGUUGGCGUAUAUGGUUCUCUUUCUCCCCAUUUAUUCCUCACAAGAACCCUGUGAGGUAGGUUGGGUUGAGAGACUGUGACUGAGCAGGGAUUUGAACCCUGGUCUCCAGGGUCCUAGCCCAUCACUCUUAAUCUCUAUACCACACUGGCUCUAAUAUGGCGUAAGCUUUUAUGGGCCAAAAUCCGCUUCGCCACAUCCAGUGAAUCAUGCAAUGAGCUCUAUGAAAUCAAAUGGCUUUGUGGUUCUUGAAAGACAAACCAUUUUGAGAAACUCAAGAGACAAAUUGUUUUCUUUGUUUUGUUUUUAAUUUGUGUUAUGACAGAGGAACCUGCUGUUGAAAGGAUGAAAAGAAAGAAAGAAAGUAAAAUUCUGCACGAGCCUUUGGGAGCACCGAAAACAUUCCUUUGCAUAGGAGCCAACCCCUAGGGGCCAAGGGGUGUUCACCCCCCCCAAGCUGAUGGGCAUUGCCAUUUAAAUGGUGUGUGCACACCAUGUCAUGUGAUCAAUUAUGCAAAAUGAGGCUUACCUACCCCCCCAAAUAUUUUAUUUAAGGUGGCACCCGUAUUCCUUUACACUAUGGACUCAUUUCCCAAAAGUGUAUAAGCCAGCCUUCCUUAACCUAGCGUCUUCCAGAUGUUUUGGACUACAACUCCCAUCAAAUCCUGAUAACAGAUGUUUUCCUGCCCCACCACCGAAUUUCUAGCCUCAGUAUUUCUUUUUAGUAUUUGACAUUUUCAGAAAUGCUGCAUUUGUGUGUGUGUGUGUGUGCUUUUCUCUUUAUCAUUCUGAGAGCUACAUAUUUGUAAAUAUGAAGAACAAUAUGCUACUUGUAGGGAAAUUGCACUGGAAAGUUUCUUAGAUCACAGCUAGCCAUAUCAACAACUAAAUUCACUAUCUGCUGAUGGUGAUGUACUGUGCACUGUUUCUGGCUUUAACUGUACACUUAAAAAAAAUCCCUAUAAUUAGAAUUGUUGGCACAUUUGUGCAACCUGUUUACUUGCUCAAGCAUAAGCUGUGCUCUGAAAUUGAUAAAACAGAUUGCAGGGAGAAUUGGCAAGCAAAGAUGUUAAAUCAAGGUCCAUAGCACCGCUUGGAAACUGCAGAGCAUUAUUUGAGCGAUUUACUUUACCUUCUUCAAGUGAUGUUCACACUGAUCUCUUAAAGUACUAAAUAACCCAAUGCAGCUUUGAGAAAUGAAUGGAUUCAUGAGUUCCUAUUCUAAUAGAUUCUACUGGAUUG
rnacentral:lncRNA from 1 species